GACGAACGCUGGCGGCGUGCUUAACACAUGCAAGUCGAACGGAAAGGCCCUGCUUUUGUGGGGUGCUCGAGUGGCGAACGGGUGAGUAACACGUGAGUAACCUGCUCUUGACUUUGGGAUAACUUCAGGAAACUGGGGCUAAUACCGGAUAGGAUCUCCUGCUGCAUGGUGGGGGUUGGAAAGUUUCGGCGGUUGGGGAUGGACUCGCGGCUUAUCAGCUUGUUGGUGGGGUAGUGGCUUACCAAGGCUUUGACGGGUAGGCGGCCUGAGAGGGUGACCGGGCACAAUGGGACUGAGAUAGGGCCCAGACUGCUACGGGAGGCAGCAGUGGGGAAUAUUGCACAGUGGGCGGAAGCCUGAUGCAGCGGCGCCGCGUGCGGGAUGACGGCCUGCGGGUAGUAAAACGCUUUCGCCUGUGACGAAGCGUGAGUGACGGUAAUGAGUAAAGAAGCACCGGCUAACUACGUG
rnacentral:rRNA from 1 species